UUCAAAGUAAAGUUUAUGUCAUACUCAGCCAAUCUGUACAAUAUUACAGGGUCAAUGAAAGAUCAACCAGAGUGCAGAAAACAACAAACUGUGCAAACGCGAAUAUGAAUAAAUAGCAAAAGACAAUGAGAUAAUGAUAAUAAUAUGUCCUUGGUGGUGGGUAGGCUGGUGCCGAUGAUGCCUUGGGCAGUUCUGACUACCCGAUGCAGAUCCCUCCUGUCCGUAUCAUGCCGCUUGUUAGGAUGCUCUCUAUCUGUACAAUGAUGGGAGUGUAGAUGUGCACAGCCCAGCACCCUUCAGCCCCCUCGGAGAGUCGAGGUUUCCUGAUUGUGUAGAAUAUGCUCAGGGACUAUGAGAAGUUCUGCCCGUUCUGGUUGACUGUCAGUAACUAGUGGUGUUUUAUGUCUGUAUUGGGAACGCUACUUUUCUCAUUGUUUGUCAAUGAUUUAGAUAAUGGAAUUGAUGGCUUCGUGGCAAAGUUUGCAGAUGAUAAGAUAGGUGGAUGGGUAGGUAGUGCUGAGGAAGCAAUGCGAUUGCAGCAGGACUUAGACAAAUUGGAAGAAUGGGCAAAAGAGUGGCAGAUAGAAUACAGUGUGGGGAAGUGUAUGAUAAUGUAUUUUGGUAAAAGGAACAGGCUGUUAUCUAAAUGGGGAGAAGGUUCAAACAUCAGAGAUGCAAAGGGACUUGGGAGUCCUCGUGCAAGACUCCCGGAAGGUUAAUUUACAGGUUGAGUCUGUGAUAAAGAAGGAAAAUGCAAUGUUGGCAUUCAUUUCAAGGGGAAUAGAAUAUAAAAGCAAGGAGAUAAUUCUGAGCCUUUAUAAGACACUAGUCAGGCCGCACUUGAAUAUUGUCAUCAGUUUUGGGCCCCAUAUUUCAGAAAGGAUGUGUUGUCAUUGGAGAGAGUCCAGAGGAGGUUCAAGAGGAUGAUUCUGGGAUUGAAGGGGCUUACAUAUGAUGAGUGUAGCAGCUUUGGGCCUGUAUUCACUGGAAUUUAGAAGAAUGUGUGGGCAUCUCAUUGAAACCUACUGAAUGUUGAAAGGACUACACAGGGUGGAUGUGGAGAAGAUGUUUCCUGUGGUGGAGGUAUCCAGAAUUAGAGGGCACAGCCUCAAAUUUGAAGGGUAACCCUUUAGAACAGAGGUAAGGAGGAAUUGUUUUAACCAGAGUAGUGAAUCUAUGGAAGGCUCUGCCACAGACUGUGGUGGAGGCUGGGACCAUGGGUAUAUAUAAUCUGGAUUCAGUGAGAGGGCAGGUGUAUGGGAUCCGGGAUCAGCCAUGGUGAAAUGACAGAGCAGAUUCGAUGGGCUGAAAGGACUAAUUCUGCUCCUCUGUCUUUCAGUCUUAUCAGUUAGUGUGAGACUAUUACAGCCUGGGGCAACGGAGUUCAGAGUUCAAUUCAAGCGCCCUCUGUGAGGAGGUCUCUACAUUCUUCCCAAGUACUCAUGGGUUUCCUCCCACGUACCAGUUAGUAGGUUAGUUGGUCACUGUAAAUUGUCUGGGACUUGGGCCUGGGUCAGAUAGGUGGGUUGCUGGGCUGGAUAAGCCUAUUCCAUGUAGUAUUUCUCAACAAAAUUCAUUAAAUAAAUCAUUAGGUGAAUGAAUAAAUGAAUAUUUUUAAAGAAUUAGUUCAGUUCUGUUGUGUGUGGGAAGGGUUGGCAGGAAUCGGGACAGCGACCAAUGGGAGGGGAAUGAGAAACCAUCAGGAAUAGUGAAUCAGGAUUAUUGGGGUUUUAUUCUAGAUCAGUGGUUCCAACCUUUUUUAUAUCUUGGAGCCUUACCAUUAACCGAGGGGUCUGUAGGCCCCAGGCUGGGACCACCAGAUAGAGAUGGUUACGAUGAGGGUGUUCAUCAAUUUCUCCCUCUGGCCUCUACUCACCUGUCCUGGUGCCCCGCCCUUCCCUUUCUCCCAUGAUCCACUGCCCUCUCCUAUCAGAUAAUUCCUUCUUCAGCCCUUUACCUUUUCUACCAAUCACCUCCCAACUUCUCACUUCAUUCCCCUCAUCUGGUCUCACCUAUCACCUGCUGGCUUGUCCUCCUUUCCCUCCCCUGCAUCUUAUUCUGGCAUCUUCUCAAAUAGCCUCUGACAACCAAGUCCAGCUCCUGGCCUUUAUAUGCGGCUUAGCUAUUAAGCCCAGUGACUCCAUUUCUCUGAUGGGAGAGGAAGCAAGGGUGGGUUACUGGUGCCUUCAAACUAGUUGCUUCGGGCUGUGGUUGGCAGCUCAUCGAGGAGAAGGAAAUUGAAGAGGCAACCUUUUAGAACAGAGGUAAGGAGGAAUCCAAGCUCAAACCUGUGCUACUGAAGCUGUACCUGUUGUGUAUUUAGUCAAAGCAUUCUUGGUUUAAAUGAUCAUUAUGGGUUACGUAUGGAAAUUGCAUACAUCGUGACACUCCAGGAGAAGGAAGUCUGAUCUCAAAUCCUCACUGCUUUGCGGCUAUACCCACACAGGAGAACGCCAGGGAGAAAUUCAGGACUGGGGUCCCUAAGACAGUCCUACAUUAAGUUCAACACUGGCAACUCCCGCGAUGCCUCUGGUGCCAAACUGUAUCGGUCUCUGCCUUUAAUUGGAUUAAUCAGCUGCAUGGAGAGGGGGAGCCUGCUGCAUGGGAACAGCUUGCUCUUCAUAUUACACUGCCCUGGCCUGUGUGUCCUGGGACGCCACAUCCACGGUCGGCCCUGACCAGCAGACAAUCUCUGUAUGUGACAUUCCUCGGACAAACAAGUGUAGCGUCUGUGAUUAAAUUCGUUAACACCAACGUCUCUCCCACCAGGACAGGGUCUCCUCCCACCCCAGGACAGGUUUUCUCCUCCCCCUUCACCAGGACCUGGGUUCGAUUCCCAUCGCACGGUAGUGUAGUGGUUAGCACAACGUUUACAGUACCAGUGACCCGGGUCCAAUUCCCAUCACACGGUAGUGUAGUGGUUAGCACAACGUUUUACAGUACCAGAGACCCGGGUUUGAUUCACAUCACACGGUAGUGUAGUGGUUAGCACAACGUUUACAGUACCAGUGACCCGGGUUCAAUUCCCAUCACACGGUAGUGUAGUGGUUAGCACAACGUUUUACAGUACCAGAGACCCGGGUUUGAUUCACAUCACACGGUAGUGUAGUGAUUAACACAACGUUUUACAAUACCAGUGACCCGGGUUCGAUUCCCAUCACACGGUAGUGUAGUGGUUAGCACAAUGUUUACAGUACCAGUGACCCGGGUUCAAUUCCCAUCACACGGUAGUGUAGUGAUUAACACAACGUUUACAGUACCAGUGACCCGGGUUUGAUUCCCAUCACACGGUAGUGUAGUGGUUAGCACAAUGUUUACAGUACCAGUGACCCGGGUUCAAUUCCCAUCACACGGUAGUGUAGUGGUUAACACAACGUUUACAGUCCCAGAGACCCGGGUUUGAUUCACAUCACACGGUAGUGUAGUGAUUAGCACAACACUUUACAGUACCAGAGACCCGGGUUCGAUUCCCAUCACACGGUAGUGUAGUGAUUAACACAACGUUUACAGUACCAGUGAUCUGGGUUCAAUUCCCAUCACACGGUAGUGUAGUGAUUAACACAACGUUUACAGUCCCAGUGACCUGGGUUCAAUUCCCAUCACACGGUAGUGUAGUGGUUAGCACAACGUUUACAGUCCCAGUGACCUGGGUUCAAUUCCCAUCACACGGUAGUGUAGUGGUUAGCACAACACUUUACAGUACCAGUGACCCGGGUUCAAUUCCCAUCACACGGUAGUGUAGUGGUUAACACAACGUUUACAGUCCCAGUGACCUGGGUUCAAUUCCCAUCACACGGUAGUGUAGUGGUUAGCACAACACUUUACAGUACCAGAGACCCGGGUUUGAUUCACAUCACACGGUAGUGUAGUGGUUAACACAACGUUUUACAGUACCAGUGACCCGGGUUCAAUUCCCACUACUCUCUGUAAGGAGUUUGUACAUUUCCCCAUGACCACGUGGGUUUCCUCCGGGUGAUCCGAUUUGUUCCCUCGUACCAGUUUGUAGGUUACUUGGUCAUUGUCAAUUGUCCUGUGAAGGAUAGGAUUAAAUCAGGGUAUUGGUGGGCUGCCUAUCUCAAUAAAUAAACAAACGAACUCCGGCGGUGUGAGGUACCCACCCCCUUCAAGCAGACUUCAAACAUACCAGCGCCCAAGAAGAGCGUGAUAACCUGUCUGAACGACUGCAACCCAGUGGCACUCACAUCCACGAUGAUCGGUGAUCCACAUGUCAGAUCCCGUCUGAAUUGGAUCCACUCCAAUUCACCUCCCGAAGCAACAGGUCUACAGCAGAUGCCAUCUCAUUGACUCUUCACUCAACCCUGGGACACCUGGACAUCAAAGAUGCAACACCAGGAUGCUCUUUAUCGAUUACAGCUCAGCAUUUAACACCAUCUUCCCCUCAAAACUAAUCAGUAAAUCCCAAGACCUGGGCCUCAAAAUACCCCCUUGUGCAACUGGAUCCUGGAUUUCCGCAUCUGUAGACCCCGAUCAGAUCGGAUUGACAAAAACAUCUCCUCCACAAUUUCAUCAGCGCAGGAGCACCACAAGGAUGUGUGCUUAGCCCCUGCUCUACUCGCUUUACACUUAUGACUGUGUGGCUGAGCACAACUUGAAUACCAUAUACAGGUUUGCUGAUGACACCACUGUUGUGGGCCGCUUCAAAGGGGGAUAAUGAAUCAACAUACAGGACACAGAUUGAAAAUUUAGCUGAGUGGUGUCGUAACAACCUCUCACUCAAUGUCAACAAGACCAAGGAACUGAUUGUAGACUUCAAGAGAAGGAAACCAGAGGUCCACUAGCCGGUAAUCAUUGGAGAUGGUCAGUAACUUUAAAUUCCUGGCUCUCACGAUCUCAGAGACCUGUCCUGGACCCAUCAUAUAAAUAUAAUUGCAAAGAAAGCACACAGCACCCACUACUUCCUCAGGAGUCUACGGUGAUUCAGCGUGUGAUCAAAACCUUGGCAAACUUCAUCAGAUGUGUGGUGGGAAGUGUGCUGACCGGCCGCGUAUGGAAUGCCUUUGAGCGGAAAUCCUACAGAAGGUAGUGGAUCCAGACCAGUACAUCACGGGUAAAACCCUCCCAACCAUUCAGCAUCUGCAUGAACCGUUGCCGUAGAUAAGCAGCAUCCAUCAUCGGAGACUCACCACCCAGGCCGUGCUCUCUCCUCACUGCUGUCUGCCACCCAGCAGAAGCACAGGAGCCUCAAGACCAGCUCCACCAGGUUCAACAACAGUUACCACCCCUCAAUCAUCAGGCUCUUGAACAAAAGGGGAUAACUAUGCUCAUUUAAGGACUCUGUUAUGUUGUUUAUUCAUUUUGGUUAUAUAUUGCUAUUAAUUUAUUCUCUGCAUUUGCACAGUUUGUACACUGUUUACAGAUCCAGAUGUUUACUGUUUACAGAUCUUGUUUACAGUUACUGUUCUAUACAUUUGUUAAGUAUGCCCACAGAAAAAGAACCCCAGGGUUGUAUGUGGUGAUGUGUAUGUACUCUGAUAAUAAAUUUCACUUUGAACUUUGAGAUAAUAAGAACAGCUGGUCACAGAAACUGGUGGUGUAACAAUAUUCAUUUUUAUUCCUGGAUUUUUGUGAUAUUUUGAUUUCAGGAAGUUGUUAACAAAAUUCUCGUGCACAGAAAAAAGCCUUUGUCUGUUUUGUUCUGUACACUUUGUCAGAAUAAAGAGGAGAUGGGGGGGGGUGAUUGAAGAACAGUUAAUAAUCUCCACCACAUUCACUCGUUGUCAGGAUGGAGUCAGUCAGGAUGAGACUCUCACUACCCCUCAGAGAAGAUUCACAUGAAUCAUCCUGGUAAUGAAAGGGUUAACAUUUGAGGAGCAUUUGAUGGCUCAGGACCUGCACUCAUUGGAGUUGAGAAAAAUCAGGGGAGAUCACAUUGAAACCUAUUGAAUACUGAAAGGCUGAGACAGAGAGGAUGUUUCCUGUAGUGGGGGAGUCUAGGACCAGAGGACACAGAUAGUGGAUGUAGAGAGGAUGUUUCCUAUAGUGGGGGAGUCAAGGACCAGACACAGAUAGAGUGGAUGUGAUGUUUCCUAUAGUGGGGGAGACUAGGACCAGAGGACACAGAUAGAGUGGAUGUGGAGAGGAUGUUUCCAAUAGUGGGGGAGUCUAGGACCAGAGGACACAGAUAGAGUGGAUGUGGAGAGGAUGUUUCCUAUAGUGGGGGUGACUCGGACCAGAGGACACAGAUAGAGUGGAUGUGGAGAUGAUGUUUCCUAUAGUGGGGGAGUCUAGGACCAGAGGACACAGAUAGAGUGGAUGCGGAGAGGAUGUUUCCUAUAGUGGGUGAGUCGUGGACCAGAGGACACAGAUAGAAUGGAUGUGGAGAGGAUGUUUCCUACAGUGGGGGAGACUAGGACCAGAGGACACAGAUAGAGUGGAUAUGGAGAGGAUGUUUCCUAUAGUGGGGGAGUCUAGGACCAGAGGACACAGAUAGAAUGGAUGUGGAGAGGAUGUUUCCUACAGUGGGGGAGACUAGGACCAGAGGACACAGAUAGAAUGGAUGUGGAGAGGAUGUUUCCUACAGUGGGGGAGACUAGGACCAGAGGACACAGAUAGAGUGGAUAUGGAGAGGAUGUUUCCUAUAGUGGGGGAGUCUAGGACCAGAGGACACAGAUAGUGGAUAUGGAGAGGAUGUUUCCUAUAGUGGGGGAAUUUAGGACCAGAGGACACAACCUCAGAAUAGAGGGAUGUCCAUUUAGAACCGAGAUGAGCCGGGGGUAGUGAAUCUGAGGAACUCAUUGACACUGCCUUCUGUGGAGGCCAGGUCAUUGGUAUGUUUAAAGCAGAGGUUGAUAGGUUCUUGAGUAGGCACAGCAUCAAAGAUUACAGGGAGAAGGCAGGAGAAUAGGGUUAAGAGGGAUAGUAAAUCAGCCGUGAGGGAAUGGUGAAGCAGACUCAAUGGGCUGAAUGGCCUAAUUGUGCUCCAAUGUCUUGUGGUCUUAACUCAUGAAUUCUAUUUCUAGACUCACACAAACUCAGUGGGAAAGCCUGCUUACAUUUACCCCUCAUAAUUCCACACACCCCUAUCAAACCUCCCCUCAUUCUCCUACGCUCGAGGGAAUAAAGUCCCGACCUAUUCAACCUUUCCCUAUAACUCAGGUUCUCCAGUCCCAGCAACGAUCUUGUCAAAUUUCUCUGCACUCUUGCAAUCUCAUUUACAUCUUUCCUGUAGGUACUACUACUGUGUCGACGCUGGCCUAGGGGGCCGGCAUCACGCAUCCUGGAGGUAGGGCACCAGAAAUGCACACAAUCCUCCAGAAAGGCCUCAGCAUGGUCUUCAACAAAAUCUGCUGUCAGUAGGGGCACAAUUAAAACAUACCCCAUAACAUCAAACAGCAUGUCCACCCAGGUGAUGCCCUUAUCUCGUCACUACGGACCAUCGGGGGGAGGUACAGGAGCCUGAAGACACACACUCAAUCAUUCAGUAACAGCUUCUUCUCUGCCAUCAGGGAGGGGGUACAGGAGCCUGAAGACACACACUCAACAAUUCAGGAACAGCUUCUUCCCCUCUGCCACCAGGGGGACGAGGUACAGGAG